rnacentral:tRNA from 1 species
GACCCCUUCAUCUAGUGGCCAAGGAUACUACCCUUUCUAGGUAGUUACAGAAGUUCAAAUCUUCUAGGGGUCGCCA